rnacentral:lncRNA from 1 species
AUGUUGAGGAUAAAUCCUCAAGUGUGCUAAAAGACUUAUUCAAUAUUUGAAGUAUUUUUUUCAACCAAGUAUCAUCAAAUUUAUAAGUAAAUUUAUCACUCAUAGCAGCUCUCAUUAUGCAACAUACUGUUGUAGAGUCAUUGAGCCACUUCUGAUAAGUAUCUCUAACCAUCACAUCUGUAUUUGGAGCUGGUACUUUAGGUGCU